rnacentral:rRNA from 1 species
UACAGAGGGUGCAAGCGUUAAUCGGAGUUACUGGGCGUAAAGGGCGCGUAGGUGGAUAUUUAAGUCGGUUGUGAAAUCCCCGGGCUUAACCUGGGAAUUGCAAUCGAUACUGAAUGUCUAGAGUAUGGUAGAGGAAAGUGGAAUUCCCAGUGUAGCGGUAAAAUGCGUAGAUAUUGGGAAGAACACCAGUGCGAAGGCGACUUUCUGGACCAAUACUGACACUGAGGCGCGAAAGCGUGGGGAGCAAACA